CGGACGGGUGAGUAACACGUGGAUAACCUACCUAUAAGACUGGGAUAACUUCGGGAAACCGUAGCUAAUACCGGAUAAUAUAUUGAACCGCAUGGUUCAAUAGUGAAAGACGGUUUUGCUGUCACUUAUAGAUGGAUCCGCGCCGCAUUAGCUAGUUGGUAAGGUAACGGCUUACCAAGGCAACGAUGCGUAGCCGACCUGAGAGGGUGAUCGGCCACACUGGAACUGAGACACGGUCCAGACUCCUACGGGAGGCAGCAGCA
rnacentral:rRNA from 1 species